GAUGAACGCUGGCGGCGUGCUUAACACAUGCAAGUCGAACGGAAAGGCUCCUGCUUGCAGGGGUACUCGAGUGGCGAACGGGUGAGUAACACGUGGGUGAUCUGCCCUGCACUUCGGGAUAAGCCUGGGAAACUGGGUCUAAUACCGGAUAGGACGAUGGUUUGGAUGCCAUUGUGGAAAGUUUUUCGGUGUGGGAUGAGCUCGCGGCCUAUCAGCUUGUUGGUGGGGUAAUGGCCUACCAAGGCGUCGACGGGUAGCCGGCCUGAGAGGGUGUACGGCCACAUUGGGACUGAGAUACGGCCCAGACUCCUACGGGAGGCAGCAGUGGGGAAUAUUGCACAAUGGGCGCAAGCCUGAUGCAGCGACGCCGCGUGGGGGAUGACGGCCUUCGGGUUGUAAACUCCGUUCGCUAGGGACGAAGCGUUUUGUGACGGUACCUGGAGAAGAAGCACCGGCUAACUACGUG
rnacentral:rRNA from 1 species